rnacentral:rRNA from 1 species
AGUGAACGCUGGCGGUAGGCCUAACACAUGCAAGUCGAACGGCAGCACAGUAAGAGCUUGCUCUUACGGGUGGCGAGUGGCGGACGGGUGAGGAAUACAUCGGAAUCUACUUUUUCGUGGGGGAUAACGUAGGGAAACUUACGCUAAUACCGCAUACGACCUACGGGUGAAAGCAGGGGAUCUUCGGACCUUGCGCGAUUGAAUGAGCCGAUGUCGGAUUAGCUAGUUUGCGGGGUAAAGGCCCACCAAGGCGACGAUCCGUAGCUGGUCUGAGAGGAUGAUCAGCCACACUGGAACUGAGACACGGUCCAGACUCCUACGGGAGGCAGCAGUGGGGAAUAUUGGACAAUGGGCGCAAGCCUGAUCCAGCCAUACCGCGUGGGUGUAGAAGGCCUUCGGGUUGUAAAGCCCUUUUGUUGGGAAAGAAAAGCAGCAGGUUAAUACCCCGCUGUUCUGACGGUACCCAAAGAAUAAGCACCGGCUAACUUCGUG